GCAUAUAUGGACCAAAAUACUCAAUUUUGCCCUACAUAGCCUGAUAUCCACUUACGAGGACAUUAUACUGCUACUGUUCUAUCAAAAUUUUAAACGAGUAUCCUCAUACGUGGCUCUCAUUCUUCUUAAAAACAAAAAUAAGGUAAAAAAAAAAAUCUGGUAAUUCUUUGUUUUUACAUUCAUCGGGCCCCAAUAUGCCCAAAUAUCAAAGAGAAAUUAAAAAUGCAUACUGUGGAAGAGUUCGGGUCUUAGGAGGUUAAGAUGCAUGUUAAAAAAGAACUUCUAUUGAGAUACAUUUACAAGCAAGUCCGAUGUUUAACAGAGAUAUUUUUAUAUUUGUUUUGGAGCAGCUUAAAAUGCCAGAAUAUGGGAUUUUUUUAUGGAUUUCUUUCAUUUUGUUUAGAUCUUGAUGUGAAACUUGGAAUUGAUACAGAUGAGCCAAAUCAAAAGGCCAGUAUUUCAAAGGCUCAUUAUAUGUAACCCUCUCUGACUCAAAUCCAUCCACCUUCUUGGAGUUCAAAGCACACCACACACCAGGUGAGAGCUGAAAACAGUACCAGAACUCGCUUUGUGUUUACACAAACAGUUACUGCAUAUAAGGCCCAAAUGAAUUACAUCCACAGUAGAAGACUGCUCUUUGGUUCCAUGAUUAGUGGACUGGCAUUCACAUGUUUUCUAGUCUUAAUGACGAUUUAAAGCAAUUGAAAGUAAAAACAGCACUUAACCAUACAUUUAUACAGCGCUUCAUCUGCCUAACACCUACACAUGAUUUAGGGUCACCAGUUACCCUAGUUACCCUAGUUACCCUUGGACUUGGGGAUAAAAUCUGUGCAUUCACAAAUUCCAGACAGAAAGGCCCAAGACAACAAGGAGAUUGAGACCAGGAAUCCUUAAAGGCUACAGAGUACCUUCCUCUUUAUACAAUGCAAUAACAUUAAGAGUUUAGAAAGCUUUACAAAGGCAGACUUUACAAUGGCUGUCAAGUCAAUUCAGUUUUAAUUUUAAAGCGUCAAAUCACAAGAACAGUGAUUUGAUUUCAAAGAGCUUUCAAUUGUACGGUAAAGACCCUACAAUAAUAUAGAGAAACUCCACCAAUCACAUGACUCCCAAGGAAAAACUCCCUUUUAACAGGAAGAAGCCUCGGGCAGAACCAGGCUCAGGGAGGGGAGGCCAUGACCAGUUGGGGUGAGAGAAGGAAGAGAUGACAAAAGAGUUUAGUUGUGGAGUAACUUGCUAUGAAAUCUGUGCAAAUGAAGACUUGACCACCUGAAAAACAACAUGAGCUGUCUUUACUCCAGCAGACAACGUCUAUUCUCCCUCCUUGAAGAAUAUAAUAAUUUGAAAGCUGUUUUUCAGGAAAAGAAAGGAAAAACGGAUAUCCAAAAGGAUAACGUGGCCUCAAACACCCUCGUCUUGCUUUGUUUGCUCAACAGUUUUAUUAGGAAACUACAAGUGAACACCAAACGUCAUUCUGGGGGCACGUCUCGUCACCUGGUAGCCAUUUUCAUACGUGUCCAGGCACAAGUAUCGACAUUUAGGCUGCUGUUUUGAAGCAUUCUCUAAAUGUAUAUGGGAGGUGGGGUGUCUACUUUUAUAAAAACCGCAUACUGCUCUCCGCCAGCAUAAAAGGUUUUUGUGUCAUAUUUAGAGUUGAGUUUAAAGGUUAUUUUAAAUUUCUUCCAGCAGUUAGACUCAUCACUUUAAUAACGGCAUAAAAGAAAGAGGGUACUUUACCUGCAGGGAGCAACCUAGUUUGGAAGUGUAGGUGUUCAGACAGUGGAUGUUUGAUUUUAGAACAAAACUUUCCAAUUGGAGUUUGAUGUUUUGCAACAGUGUCAGUUUCAAGGCCUUAAUAUCUUCACGGCCCCUCAGCUGAGUGUUAUUCCCCUACUGUUGUGGUUAAACAGUAUUCACAGCUCAUGGCCUGUUCUGUACUCCCACUGCUCCGCUUGUUGUUUUUCUCUUCCCUUCAAAUGAUCAAUUUCCAAAACAGCUAAACCUUUUAAGUCUGGUCGUUGCUGGUAAAAGUCAAUCGCAUUAACUCUUAAAGGUCAAGAAUGUGUCACCAUUAUGUAGGAAAGCUGUCUCGCAAGCCCCCUUUGAGUAAGAUAAACUCAAGACAAAGUAAUAACUGUCAUUGUGCUUAGAAGAACUGACGGGUGACUGCAGCAGUGCAAUGAACAAGACCAGAAGAGGCAAUCCCCCACCCACGGCAGCUUUGUAUCUUCCUGUACACUUACGGUAAUGAGCAUGCUCACAUUUCAUAAUCAUUGAUAAUCUCCUUCAUUUGUCCUUGCAUCUAAAACAAAAAAAGUCAUCAUGUUUCUCUCAGUCAGCAUUUUAAUUAAAAAACAUACACACUUACUUAAAAAAAUGCCAAGAUGCGUGUGUUUCAUGCAAACUUUCAACCUUGCGCCUACUCUCUCCGCACCACGGCAAUGCAAACUGUUCACAAAGGGGAGACCACAGUGUAGGAAAUCAUACUACUGCAAGUGGGAGUAGGAAGUCAACUACAUUAUCAAGAAGAAGUAAAUAAAUCUGCCUCACAGUGUCAAAUGCUUGAAGUGCAAACACAUGGUGAAUUCAUGAAGAUCCUUUUAACUUUCAUUUAAACUCCCUGAAGAGACAAAGAACACAUCUUACAUUUUGUUUUUAGGCCAUGCCACCCAUACUGAAACCAUAAUUAGAUGAAUUCACAUUAGAAGAGCACGUAUUAGACACGUAUUUUAUUUAUUGUAUGCAUAAGAAGAGGUACACGUGCAAUAAACAAAAACAAAACAAAGCUGUCAUUUACGGUUUGAGCAAGCAAUAUCAAGUCAAAACAAAAACAAAUUAUGAUACUGAUGAGCAACAACUGUGGCCGAGCUACGUAAUAAUGAAAUACAGUAGCAGAAAAAUAGACAAAUCAUUUGUUGACAAAAAAAUCAAACAUUUACUUUUGAUUGACAUCUGGUUUUAGGUCACCUCACACUGAUAACUCGUGGCAAAAAUGGUAUUUAGAAAAAUGAACGGGGGUCUACUCUUAACCAACUUCAAUAAACUGUAAAAGAAAAAAAUACAACAAAUGUUAUUUAUUCUUUAUUUUCAGUGUAAAGUAAGAAAAGGCACAUAAGCAUAACUUGUACACACAUCUAAUGCAUUGCAGAUACAACUGUUAAAUCAGUCUCCUAAUAUGAUGUCAUUUAAGUAACACAGAUUAAAAUAUUUAUUCAUUAUGUGACAUCUCAAGUUCUCAAUGUCAGUUUACACUAAAGUGACGUUAAUCCAACUUACCUAUCAAUACCAAGACAUUCUAACUAUUGUUAUAUUAAUAACAAUAAACUAAUGUAAUUUUAAGAGCUUUGUAUCCAUUAGUGAGAUGUGAUUACUGCACCAAGGUAAAUACGUAUGCUGCUCUGUAUGCUCUUGUUGACAUUCGGCUACGUCGUUGAAGACAAAGCGCGACUUGAAACAAGCCGCACUUUUUUGUCACUGUGUUUAACACUCUGGCUGACCACAAAGAACAUUUCUCAGUGUGGCAUGUCACGUCUGACCAAGACUGUUAGUCAUCAUUGAAAAAACAUGUGUCAGUAGAGCAUUGUUUUGCAAAGUUCCCUGGAAAAAGCUUGAGAUGUUAGUUCUAGAUAUCUGACGAUAACAUUUCACUUUCAACUAAGCCACUACGUUUAAGAGAAGUUUUAAUUGAUGGCCUUUUUUCAUAGUCGCAUAGAUCAAUUAAUGUUAGUUUUAUGUCAGUUUGAAUGAGUAACUACAGUACAACUAAUCCAACUAACUCUUGUGAUGCUUUAAAUUUAAGUGCAGUGCCUCUGCUGUAUUGGUGAGGUGCCUCAGAAGACAAAGUAGAAUUUCAAAGUUUCCCUCACACAUACAAUUUUGUGAGAAUCUGGUCAGGUUGAAAGCUAGAUGUCUAUUGUUAUGCAUCAACUUUUGCCAAUUGCUUGCUCAUAGUGUGUUGUCUUAAUGUUGGGUUUUUUUCCUGUAUUACUGUAGCGUCCUUAUCUUACAAUAUAAAGUUGCUAUUGUGACUUGGUGCUAUAUAAAUAAAAUUACAUUUAAUCGAUGACCAUUAAUUAGCUGUAAAUUCCCCAGACUAUUCCCUACGCUACUCUUUUAUUGGUUCAAGUGGGCAUAACAAGUACGUUGUACCAGGAAACAAGUUGUCUUAAUUUCAUUAUCAACCGAUACACAAAUGCCAAUAUUUUUGUCAUCCAAGGUUUUGUGGUGUACUUGUAGUGUGAGAUCAAAUGGCCAUGUAGGUAAUAGAUGCAUGUGGGAACCAAAAAAAGGAACAAUAAUUUGAAACCACUGGCUGUAGUCUGACUAGUUUUCUAUUAGCUUUUAACCAGUAUGCA